GAUGAACGCUGGCGGCGUGCCUAAUACAUGCAAGUCGAGCGAACGGACGAGAAGCUUGCUUCUCUGAUGUUAGCGGCGGACGGGUGAGUAACACGUGGAUAACCUACCUAUAAGACUGGGAUAACUUCGGGAAACCGGAGCUAAUACCGGAUGAUAUUUUGAACCGCAUGGUUCAAAAGUGAAAGACGGUCUUGCUGUCACUUAUAGAUGGAUCCGCGCUGCAUUAGCUAGUUGGUAAGGUAACGGCUUACCAAGGCAACGAUGCAUAGCCGACCUGAGAGGGUGAUCGGCCACACUGGAACUGAGACACGGUCAAGACUCCUAAGGGAGGCAGCAGUAGGGAAUCUUCCGCAAUGGGCGAAAGCCUGACGGAGCAACGCCGCGUGAGUGAUGAAGGUCUUCGGAUCGUAAAACUCUGUUAUUAGGGAAGAACAUAUGUGUAAGUAACUGUGCACAUCUUGACGGUACCUAAUCAGAAAGCCACGGCUAACUACGUG
rnacentral:rRNA from 1 species